AGUACUUUUUCCUCCACUAUUUCGAACGGACCAAUCAGGAAUAAGUAGAUUUCUAUAUAUAAACUAUGAAGGAGAUUAAACUGCACAGUUGUUCAUUCAGAUGUUCGGGAAGUAAUUUAAUUUUUUUUUUUUUUUUCCACAGAGGAAUCAAUUUUAUAUUAGGUUGGUGCGUAUAAAGUAUCGGAUUUUCUUUAAAUGCGAACAUUUGUCUACCUGUUCUUAUUAUGCUUUUGUUUUUGACAUAACCUGAUUUAUAGUCAUGUACUGUCCAUUGCCAGAGUCAUAUUUUAGCAAAGAAGAUUUUCUCAAAAGUGUUCCCUUUUGUUAUUUGCUUUGAAUUUUGCACCGAUAUGAUUUCAACCGAUAUUCGUGUAAUUUUCUUAUAUGAGUAUAAACUUUGUAAUAAUGUUGCAAAAGCUGCAUGCAAUAUAAAUCAGGCGUUUGGGGAGAAUACUGUGAACGAUCGAAAAGUGCAACGUUGGUUUGAAAAAUUUCGAUCUGGUGAUUUUUCCCUGCAAAAUGAAACGCGUGGAAGACCCGAAACAUCUGUGAAAAAAUGAUGCUCUGAAAGCAUUGUUGGAAAUGAAUCCAACUGUUCCUUCAAGGGAACUUUCUGCCAGAAUGGAAAUUGAUCAUACAACAAUAUUGCGACAUCUUUCUGAAAUUGGCAACAUGAAAAAAAUGGAUAAUUGGAUACCGCACGAACUAUAACCGAGCGAAAUAAGCUGGAUCGUAUGAACGUAUGCUCAUCAUUGCUAAUCCGAUUUAAUCGAGAUCCAUUUUUCGAUCGGAUCAUUACUUGUGAUGAAAAAUGGGUUCUUUACGACAAUAGGAAAAAGUGUGCUCGAUGGCUUGAUAGGAAGGUGUACUCAUACUCCGUGGCCAUCAAUUCAUCCACGGAAAAUUUUAAUCACAGUUUGGUGGAGUGUAACUGGAGUAAUACACUACUCAUUCCUUCGAACUGGAAUGACAAUUACAGCCGAAAAGUAUUGUCAGUACAUUGAAGAAAUGCAUGAAAAAUUGAAAAUUAUACGCUCAUCGCUUGUUAAUCGGCAUGGCCCAAUACUUUUCCACGACAAUGCUCGAUCGCAUAUAUCGUACAAAACAAUUGCGAAAUUAAAUGAAUUAAAAUAUGAAAUUUUGCAGCACCCACCCCUAUUCACCGGAUCUUUCGCCAACCGACUUUCAUUUAUUUAAACAUUUAGAACUGUUUUUUUUUUACAGGCUAAACAGUACGAAAAUGAAGACAGUCUGAAAAAUGCCAUAUCAGAGUUCAUUGAUUCUAAAGAUCAGAAUAUCUUCAAGACAAUAGGCAUCUAUGCAUUAAAAUCUCGUUGGGAAAAAUGUAUUGAAGUAAAAUGGUGGAGCAUAUUUUGAGAACUGAUAUAUAACACAAGGCUUAAAUUGGCAUCAAGAGAAGAUUGUGAACACAAUCGAUUACUAGAAGUUUUUCGCCAAUAAGGACCAAGACUUCUAUGAGAGAGGGGAGAAUUAUGAAGCUACCUUUAAAAUUGCAACAAAUUAUAGAACAACAAAACGGGAGAUGCAUAUUUGAUCCGUUCUUGACUUUAAGAAGUUCUAGCGAAGCAUAUCUCGUUGGUUCUCGCACGAGAUACGAAUCCAUAUGUGCGAUUUAUGCUAAACGCGUAAACCACAUAUUAUCAUGCCAAAGGGUAUCCAAUUGGCACGUUGUAUUCGAGAAGAACGUGCUUAAGAAGGAUAUUAUAUCAUCAUAAUCAUCAUUAUUAUUAUUAUCAUUAUAAAAUUCAAUGGUCCUUUUUAGGGCUAACA